rnacentral:rRNA from 1 species
UACGUAGGGGGCGAGCGUUGUCCGGAAUUACUGGGCGUAAAGGGCAUGCAGGCUGUGAAUCAAGUCAAGUGUUAAAGGAUGCGGCUCAACCGUGUUAUGCACUUGAAACUGAUUUACUGGAGUGUUGGAGAGGCAAGUGGAAUUCCCAGUGUAGCGGUGAAAUGCGUAGAUAUUGGGAAGAACAUCGGUGGCGAAGGCGACUUGCUGGCCGACAACUGACGCUGAUAUGCGAAAGCCAGGGGAGCAAACGGG